rnacentral:rRNA from 1 species
GACGAACGCUGGCGGCGUGCCUAAUACAUGCAAGUAGAACGCUGAAGAGAGGAGCUUGCUCUUCUUGGAUGAGUUGCGAACGGGUGAGUAACGCGUAGGUAACCUGCCUUGUAGCGGGGGAUAACUAUUGGAAACGAUAGCUAAUACCGCAUAACAAUGGAUGACACAUGUCAUUUAUUUGAAAGGGGCAAUUGCUCCACUACAAGAUGGACCUGCGUUGUAUUAGCUAGUAGGUGAGGUAAUGGCUCACCUAGGCGACGAUACAUAGCCGACCUGAGAGGGGGAUCGGCCACACUGGGAAUGGGAAACGGCCCAGACUCCUACGGGAGGCAGCAGUAGGGGAUCUUUGGCAAUGGGGGCAACCCUGAACGAGGAAAGCCGGGGGAGGGAAGAAGGGUUUCGGAUCGUAAAGCUCUGUUGUAAGUCAAGAAAGGGUGUGAGAGUGGAAAGUUCACACUGUGACGGUAGCUUACCAGAAAGGGACGGCUAACUACGUG